rnacentral:rRNA from 1 species
UACGUAGGUGGCAAGCGUUGUCCGGAUUUACUGGGCGUAAAGCGCGCGCAGGCGGACUGGUCAGUCCGGGGUGAAAUCUCACGGCUCAACCGUGAGCGGUCCCCGGAUACUGCCAGUCUUGAGGUGUCUAGAGGAGAGCGGAAUUCCCGGUGUAGAGGUGAAAUUCGUAGAUAUCAAGCGGAACACCGGUGGCGAAGGCGGCCUUCUGGACAGUGACUGACGCUGAGACGCGAAAGCGUGGGGAGCAAACAGG